UGGGGAAUUUUGGACAAUGGACGCAAGUCUGAUCCAGCCAUGCCGCGUGCGGGAUGAAGGCCUUCGGGUUGUAAACUGCUUUUGUACGGAACGAAACGGCUCUGGUUAAUACCUGGGGCUAAUGACGGUACCGUAAGAAUAAGCACCGGCUAACUACGUGCCAGCAGCCGCGGUAAUACGUAGGGUGCGAGCGUUAAUCGGAAUUACUGGGCGUAAAGCGUGCGCAGGCGGUGAUGUAAGACAGAUGUGAAAUCCCCGGGCUCAACCUGGGACCUGCAUUUGUGACUGUAUAGCUAGAGUACGGUAGAGGGGGAUGGAAUUCCGCGUGUAGCAGUGAAAUGCGUAGAUAUGCGGAGGAACACCGAUGGCGAAGGCAAUCCCCUGGACCUGUACUGACGCUCAUGCACGAAAGCGUGGGGAGCAAACA
rnacentral:rRNA from 1 species